ensembl:lncRNA
AAGGCGGCUCGUCGCGAGUUCGUGCCCUGUUUCCGGAGAGAACAGUCGUCGUUUUGGAGACUUCCCUGUGGAUACCUACGAGAGACUUUUUCCCUUUGGAUUAUUUAAGAGUCUCCAUUUCGCCUUAAACGACGUGCGUUCAGCUCCAGCUUCUCCGCCAGACUCUCUGCCCGUGCUGUCGCCGGAUCUCCCCUUCUUAAGGAAGAACCUAGAGACAUCGUUAAUUCCACCUGAGGCCAAUAUGCCUGCUCCGUCCCCUCUGCAGCUGCGCCAAACCACCUAUUACAAUAAAAUCACCACGCCACUUUACAGUGUUUACCAACUCUUCGCCUUUGACCUGGGCCCGGUUUGUCGUACAUGGUUCAACUAAGUCGAUCAAAUGUCCCAUUAUCCAGCUCAAAUUACCGAGAUGAUUGACAUCGGGCUAUCUCGGUUCCUCGAAGGCGGAUCGGUACUCAGUCUAGUUAGUUUGACCGCAAGAACAGGAGUACGCAGGAUGACAUCUCCACGGCAUUACACUCCGCCCUUUCUCACCUGGACAAUAACAGCUAUGUGAGGAUGCUGUUCAUAGACUUGAGGAUGCUGUUCAUAGACUUCAGUUCAGCUUUCAACACUGUCAUCCCCUCCAAACUAAUCACGAAACUCAGUCACCUGGGUAUCAACACUUACCUCCGUAACUGGAUACUGGACUUCCUAUCCAACAGACCCCAGUCUGUUGGGGUAGAGAACCACACCUCCUCAACCCUCAUCCUGAACACCGGCGUGCCACAGGGCUGUGUGCUAAGUCCUGUCCUCCCUCUUCACCUACGACUGCACACCUGUACACGGUUCUAAUACCAUUGUCAAGUUUGCAGACGACACAACGGUGAUUGGCCUCAUCAGUGACAGCAGGUUCAGGAACAGCUUCAUCCCUGCGGCUGUCACUCUACUGAACUCUGCCCCCCACACACAUCUCCCUCAGUGACUGUACAUCCCCCCUCCACCCUGGCUUGACUGCCACACACCCUCCUCCAGCCACUGAACAUUUGCACUGUUAUUACAUAUACAUUUCUUACUGUUCAUAUUGCAUAACUAUUUCUUACUGUACAUAUCUAUUUAUUCACUUAUUACACUUUACAUAUGCACAUACUCUGCUAUUUU